UGUGGACUAGAUAUCAUCAUAGACAACGUCAUGUACUUCCUCUUCAUGCACAAUGCAGGAGAUAAGUUGUAAAUUAUCAAUAUAACUGACCAACAACUGUGAUUGGUACUCAAAUUACCAAAUGGGUUCAUUCCAUCAGUGGCUAAACCAAGCCUAAGAUUUCUACACUCUUUACCAAAUUGGGGGAAUUGUUGACCAAUAUUUUUCCAUUACUUUAAAUCAGCUGGAUGACGAAGCGACCCGUC
rnacentral:lncRNA from 1 species